UGAGCAAUCUGCCCUUCUCUUCGGAAUAAGCGUUGGAAACGACGUCUAAUGCCGAAUACGACCUCCUUUCGCAUGAUCGGAGGUGGAAAGCUCCGGCGGAGAAGGAUGAGCUCGCGGCCUAUCAGCUAGUUGGUGUGGGUAAUGGCCCACCAAGGCGACGACGGGUAGCCGGCCUGAGAGGGUGACCGGCCACACGUGGGACUGAGACACGGCCCAGACCUCCGUACGGGAGCAG
rnacentral:rRNA from 1 species